GGGUCCUUGAAGACUACAAAAAACUUCUCAGACCACGCAUACCACGCCCAAAAGAUCACCAUUACGUGGGAUCCUCGACAUCGUGCAUCUGCAACAAAGGAGUAGCACAAUGCGUUGGUCACCGACGUUGGCUGUGUUAUUAGGAACCAUUGCCCCCUCAGGUGGGAGUCAUGGAGAGCUGUGCCACAAGAAACCAAAGACGCCAUGCUUUAUGAAUUAUUGCAUCACUAUGAGCUCUCCAACCUCGAUUCCAACCAAAUGGAGUACAUCAAGGACCUUUGCUCCAGUAGGUUCACUCAAUGGAAAACCAACCACCACAAGCAUUAUGAGCUAUAUGACGGUCCGGCGGUCGCUCUAGAAGUUAGGUGCCCUAUACAGUUGCUGGACCAUCGGGAUGAAUGGGAGUGGCUCUACAGCCAUUUUCAAGAUGAGAAUACUUG